rnacentral:rRNA from 1 species
UGCGCAGGCGGUUUUGUAAGACAGUGGUGAAAUCCCCGGGCUCAACCUGGGAACUGCCAUUGUGACUGCAAGGCUGGAGCGCGGCAGAGGGGGAUGGAAUUCCGCGUGUAGCAGUGAAAUGCGUAGAUAUGCGGAGGAACACCGAUGGCGAAGGCAAUCCCCUGGGCCUGCACUGACGCUCAUGCACGAAAGCGUGGGAGCAAACA